AUUGAACGCUGGCGGCAGGCCUAACACAUGCAAGUCGAACGAGUGGCGGACGGGUGAGUAAUGUCUGGGAAACUGCCUGAUGGAGGGGGAUAACUACUGGAAACGGUAGCUAAUACCGCAUACCCUCAGAUGUGCCCAGAUGGGAUUAGCUAUUUGGUGGGGUAACGGCGCACAAGGGCGACGAUCCCUAGCUGGUCUGAGAGGAUGACCACCCACACUGGACCUGAGACACGGUCCAGAUUCCUACGGGAGGCAGCAGUGGGGAAUAUUGCACAAGGGGCGCAAGCCUGAUGCAGCCAGGCCGCGUGUAUGAAGAAGCCCUUCGGGUUGUAAAGUACGUUCAGCGGGGAGGCGUUACCCGCAGAAGAAGCACCGGCUAACUCCGUGCCAGCAGCCGCGGUAAUUC
rnacentral:rRNA from 1 species